UGCUGCAGUGGGUGAAUGUUGGACAAUGGGCAAGACGCCUGAUCCAGCCAUAUAGUAAGAGCAAUAGCUCUAAAGAAAAGGAAAAUAAUGAUAAAACUUUUCUACUAAUCCUGACUAAUCUCGUGCCAGCAGUCGCGGUAAUACGAGGAGGAUAAGCGUAAUUCAUUAUAUCUAGGUGUAAAGGGUCUGUAGGCGGCAAAAAGCUAGAGUGUAAAAGAAGAAAGAGGAAUUAAAUAAGGAGGGAUGAAAUCUGUAGAUAUAAAUUAAGAACAUCAAAGGCGAAGGCAUCUUUCUAAUAAACACUGACGCUAAGAGACUAAAGUGUGGGUAGCGAAAAGGAUUAGAUACCUGAUUAGUCCACA
rnacentral:rRNA from 1 species